AUCUCUAUUUGGUGUUCUGUCUCUCUCUCUCUCUCUCUCUCUCUCUCUCUCUCUCUCUCUCUCUUUCUCUCUCUCUUUCUCUCUCUGUUUUCCUUUUGUGUUUUUGGGUUUGUGUGUGUGUGUGUGUGUGUGUUGUGUGCUGGCUUCCUGUUGGAGGGGAAGUGCCCCACCCGUCCGUGUCGGUCCCUGUUGGUUGGUGUGUCAGGGGGAAACAGUGAUUUGGGGAGCGAUAGGGAGGCUGAGGGACAGAUAGAGGGAGCGCGGGACAGGGGUAAAGGAGAAGCGCUGUGGGACAGGGGGCGGGGUGGGGACUGAGGGCGGGGCUCGCACACAGGAAAUGUAGCAGCUAAAUAAAGCAAGUGGGGAUGAAGAGGGCGAGGGGACGGAGGUGCAGAGCGGCGAAGAACACGCUGAGGACGACACGGGACAGAGAGAUGAUAAAGUCAAGAGGAAACUCUCUGUCCAUCGGCGCGUUCCGUCCAGCGUCCUCUCCCAUCCUCUCCUCUCGUCUCCUCGUCCUCUCCCAAUCCUUGUACCAGUGUCUGGUCUGGUUGUGACGCUGGACAGGGUUUGGGGGGGGACGAGCAAGGACACGUGUGCAUCAUUUACAGAGACGGUUAAACUCAGCAAUCUUCCUAGAAAAACGUCCUGUAUAUAUAAUGUGAUGGUUGUAAAAUAAAGCUUUGUAAUCUACACAGUGUGUUCUCUGUUAAUAAACUAUUAAACUAUUAUUAUUCAAAUAGAAACCAUUCCCAUA